rnacentral:rRNA from 1 species
CUGGGAGGACCAUCUCCUAAGGCUAAAUACUCUCUAGUGACCGAUAGUGAACCAGUACCGUGAGGGAAAGGUGAAAAGCACCCCGGAAGGGGAGUGAAAUAGAACCUGAAACCGUGUGCUUACAAGUAGUCAGAGCCCGUUAAUGGGUGAUGGCGUGCCUUUUGUAGAAUGAACCGGCGAGUUACGAUUUGAUGCAAGGUUAAGCAGUAAAUGUGGAGCCGUAGCGAAAGCGAGUCUGAAUAGGGCGUUUAGUAUUUGGUCGUAGACCCGAAACCAGGUGAUCUACCCUUGGUCAGGUUGAAGUUCAGGUAACACUGAAUGGAGGACCGAACCGACUUACGUUGAAAAGUGAGCGGAUGAACUGAGGGUAGCGGAGAAAUUCCAAUCGAACCUGGAGAUAGCUGGUUCUCUCCGAAAUAGCUUUAGGGCUAGCCUCAAGUGAUGAUUAUUGGAGGUAGAGCACUGUUUGGACGAGGGGCCCCUCUCGGGUUACCGAAUUCAGACAAACUCCGAAUGCCAAUUAAUUUAACUUGGGAGUCAGAACAUGGGUGAUAAGGUCCGUGUUCGAAAGGGAAACAGCCCAGACCACCAGCUAAGGUCCCAAAAUAUAUGUUAAGUGGAAAAGGAUGUGGCGUUGCCCAGACAACUAGGAUGUUGGCUUAGAAGCAGCCAUCAUU